UCCACUGGAAAUGCAGCAAGGAUUCCUAGCACAUCCCAGUUGCCAUAGCAACAGCAGUCUUUCCCAUAAUGAGCUGCAUCAUCUGAACUGAUGUCACAGCAUCAUGCAGCAGGUCAAACAAGGCAUCUCCUAGUAUUGCAUCCUACAGAUGUGCUGUAAACAUCAAAAGAAGGCGGUGGGAGCAGGAGAUGCUGUUUUGGAAAGAAGUAAGGCUUAGACUUCUCCAUGUUAACCAUGAGCGUGACACUUUCCCCUCUGAGGUCACAGGACCUGGAUCCCAUGGCUACUGAUGCUUCACCCAUGGCCAUCAACUUGACACCCACUGUGGAGCAGGGUGAGGAAGAAGAGGCGAUGAAAGACAUGGAUUCUGACCAGCAGUAUGAAAAGCCACCCCCACUGCAUACAGGGGCCGACUGGAAGAUUGUCCUCCACUUACCUGAAAUUGAGACCUGGCUCCGGAUGACCUCAGAGAGGGUCCGAGACCUAACCUAUUCAGUCCAGCAGGACUCGGACAGCAAGCAUGUGGAUGUGCAUCUAGUUCAACUAAAGGACAUUUGUGAAGAUAUUUCUGAUCAUGUUGAGCAAAUCCAUGCCCUCCUUGAAACGGAGUUCUCCCUGAAGCUGCUAUCCUACUCCGUCAACGUGAUUGUGGACAUCCACGCGGUGCAGCUCCUCUGGCACCAGCUCCGUGUCUCAGUGCUGGUUCUGCGAGAGCGCAUUCUGCAAGGUCUGCAGGACGCCAAUGGCAACUACACCAGACAGACGGACAUUCUGCAAGCUUUCUCUGAAGAGACAAAUGAGGACCGGCUUGAUGCUCUAACAGAAGUGGAUGACUCAGGACAGUUAACUAUCAAAUGCUCGCAGAAUUACUUGUCUCUGGAUUGUGGCAUUACUGCUUUCGAACUGUCUGACUACAGUCCAAGUGAGGAUUUGCUCAGUGGCCUGGGUGAUAUGACCUCUAGCCAGGUCAAAACCAAACCCUUUGACUCUUGGAGCUACAGUGAAAUGGAAAAGGAGUUCCCUGAGCUUAUCCGAAGUGUUGGGUUACUUACGGUGGCUCCUGACGCGGUCCCUUCCAACUGCAGAGAAGCAGUUAGUGAGGAGGCGUCUCAAGUGUCUCUUGCAGCAGAUGACAGAGGUGGAUGUGAGGAAAACAGUGCGGCCACACUGGAGGAGCAGCCAGGCUUAACGCAGGGGCUGUCAUCUUCAGGGGAAGCUCUGACAAGUGCUGGACAACCCUCUUUGGAGACUGUGAAGCAAGAAUCUGAUUCCUCUUCCCAACUUGGGGCAAAGAAUCAACAGCCUCUUCCUUGUGAAAAUGCAACCCCCAAGCGAUCCAUCAGAGAUUGCUUUAAUUAUAACGAGGACUCUCCCACACAGCCCACGUUGCCAAAAAGAGGGCUUUUCCUUAAAGACGAGACUUUUAAGAACAAUCUGAAAGGCACUAGUGGAAAGAAGCAGAUGGUUGAUCUCAAGCCUGAGAUGAGCAGGAGCACCCCCUCCCUGGUGGACCCUCGUGACAGAUCCAAGCUUCACCUGGUGUUACAGUCUCCUUACCCCAACAGACCUUCUGCGGCCAGCUACUCGUAUGAGUGUUUGCACAGGGUGGGGGAUGGGAAUCUUGAAAACACAGUCAAAAGUCACGUUAAGGAGAUCUCCUCCAGCCUGGGGACGCUUAAUGACAGCCAUAAAGAGAAGCUUCGACUUAAAAAGCCUCACAAGACCGCAGAAGAGGUGCCUUCAUGCCAGACACCACCUAAACGGGAACCCAGUUCAGGCAAGCAAGCCCAAAACACUAGGAGCUCAGUAGUGCCGAAUGGAAUUCCUUCUAGUACUUCCAAGGCCAUAGAGGGGCCAGAAACAGAUUCUGCUUCCGCAUCCUCACUUGAGCAGUAUAACCAGAGUGGUUGGAAUGCCAAAUUGCCAGUGCAGUCAGAAACAUCCAGUUCACCACCUUUUAGUCAAAGCAGUGAGUCCUCUGCUGGCUCAGACAACGUCAUGUCUCCGGUACCCCUUCUUUCAGAACACAAAAGCAAAAAAAGCUACACCUCCUCCCCAAGUCACGUCACCAGGAACGGUCGGGUUGUGGAGGCCUGGUAUGGCUCUGAUGAGUACCUAGCACUGCCCUCUCACCUUAAGCAGACAGAAGUAUUAGCUUUGAAGUUGGAAAACCUAACAAAGCUUCUGCCUCAGAAACCCAGGGGAGAAACCAUUCAGAAUAUUGAUGACUGGGAACUGUCUGAAAUGAAUUCAGAUUCUGAGAUCUAUCCAACAUACCAUGUCAAGAAGAAGCAUACAAGGCUAGGCAGGGUGUCUCCAAGCUCAUCCAGUGAUAUAGCCUCUUCACUCGGGGAGAGCAUUGAAUCUGGCCCCCUUAGUGACCUUCCUUCCGACGAGGAGUUGUGCGUGCCUCUCUCUGGCAUGAAAAAAUACAUUGAUGAGAAGUCAGAGAGAGCUUCAUCCUCUGAGAAAAAUGAGAGCCAUUCCACUACAAAGUCUGCUUUAAUUCAGAAACUGAUGCAAGAUAUUCAACACCAAGACAACUAUGAAGCCAUAUGGGAAAAAAUAGAGGGGUUUGUAAACAAGCUGGAUGAAUUUAUUCAAUGGUUAAACGAAGCCAUGGAAACCACUGAGAAUUGGACACCUCCCAAAGCAGAGACGGAUGGCCUUAAACUGUACCUGGAGACGCACUUGAGUUUUAAGUUGAAUGUAGACAGUCAUUGUGCUCUCAAGGAAGCUGUGGAGGAGGAAGGACUCCAACUUCUCGAGCUUAUUGCAUCUCACAAAGCAGAAGGACUAAAGGACAUGCUGCGGAUGAUAGCAAGUCAAUGGAAGGAGCUGCAGAGGCAAAUCAAACGCCAACACAGCUGGAUUCUCAGGGCUCUGGAUACCAUCAAAGCUGCGAUUCUGGCUACUGAUGUGUCUGUGGAGGGUGAGGAAGGGACGGGAAGCCCCAAGGCUGAGGUUCAACUAUGCUACCUGGAAGCACAAAGAGAUGCUGUUGAGCAGAUGUCCCUCAAGCUGUACAGCGAGCAGUACACCAGCAGCAGCAAGAGGAAAGAAGAGUUUGCUGACAUGUCAAAAGUUCAUUCAGUAGGAGGCAAUGGGCUUCUGGACUUUGAUUCAGAAUAUCAGGAGCUCUGGGAUUGGCUGAUUGACAUGGAGUCCCUCGUGAUGGACAGUCACGACCUGAUGAUGUCAGAGGAACAGCAGCAGCAUCUUUACAAGCGAUACAGUGUGGAAAUGUCCAUCAGGGACCUGAAAAAGACGGAGCUGCUUAGUAAGGUUGAAGCUUUGAAGAAAGGUGGCGUUUUACUACCAAAUGAUCUCCUUGAAAAAGUGGAUUCAAUUAAUGAAAAAUGGGAACUGCUUGGGAAAACCCUAGGAGAGAAGAUCCAGGACACAAUGGCAGGGCACAGUGGGUCGGGUGCACGUGACCUGCUCUCUCCUGAAAGCGGAAGCCUGGUAAGGCAGCUGGAGGUCAGGAUCAAAGAACUGAAAGGGUGGCUAAGAGAUACAGAGCUUUUCAUCUUCAAUUCCUGUCUGAGACAAGAAAAGGAAGGAACAAUGAAUGCUGAGAAACAACUGCAAUACUUUAAGUCCCUCUGUUGUGAAAUAAAGCAGCGACGUCGUGGAGUGGCCUCCAUCCUGCGAUUAUGCCAACAUCUUCUGGAUGACCGGGAGACCUGCAAUCUGAACGCGGACCACCAGCCCAUGCAGUUGAUCAUUGUAAAUCUUGAAAGAAGGUGGGAAGCCAUUGUCAUGCAAGCCGUCCAGUGGCAAACACGGCUACAAAAGAAGAUGGGAAAGGAACCUGAGACUUUGAAUGUGAUUGAUCCUGGCUUGAUGGACCUAAAUGGGACAAGUGAGGAUGCCCUGGAAUGGGAUGAAACUGACAUAAGUAACAAGUUAAUUAGUUUGAAUGAAGAAUCGAAUGACCUUGAUCAAGAAUCCCAACCUGUCUUGCCUCCCUUAAAGCUUGAAGAGACAGGUAGUGAGGACCCUGGUUAUGAAGAAGAGGCAGGUGACCACGGGGCACCUCAGUGUGCAUCGAGUAUCACUGCCCCGUCCAGUCCACACAUUUACCAAGUAUACAGCCUCCACAAUGUUGAGCUCUAUGAAGACAACCACAUCCCAUUCCUGAAAAACAAUCCGAACUUCACUAGCAUGACACAGUCUAGUGUUUUAACUAAGAGUCUCAGUAAAGACUCUUCAUUUUCAUCUGCCAAAUCUUUGCCAGAUCUUCUAGGGGGUUCCAAUUUGGUGAAGCCCUGCCCAUGCCACGGAGGAGACAUGAGUCAAAAUUCAGGCAGUGAGAGUGGAAUUGUCAGUGAAGGAGACACUGAAACCACUACCAACUCUGAAAUGUGCUUGCACAAUGUGGUGGAUGGGUCCCCAAGUAACCCUGAAACUGAACAUCUGGACCCACAAAUGGGAGAUUCAGUUAACGUGUUAAAGCAAAAGUUUAAAGAUGAGGAGGAACAAAUUAAGCUUCCAAAUAGCUCUCAGUUAUCCAUUUCACCAGUCGGUUGUGUAAAUGGAAAAGUUGGAGAUUUAAACAGUGUUACCAAACAUACCCCUGAUUGUUUGGGAGAAGAAUUACAAGGAAAACAUGAUGUGUUUACAUUUUAUGAUUACUCGUACCUCCAAGGCUCAAAACUCAAAUUACCAAUGAUAAUGAAACAGUCACAAAGUGAAAAAGCACAUGUGGAGGAUCCCCUGCUUCAUGGUUUUUAUUUUGAUAAAAAAUCCUGCAAAUCUAAACAUCAGGCUACAGAGUUACAACCAGAUGCACCUCCCCAUGAAAGGAUUUUGGCAAGUGCAUCUCAUGAAAUGGAUCGCAAUUCAUAUAAAAGUGGUGAUGUAGAGAAGACAUUCACUGGCAUGCAGAAUGCCAAACAGCUCUCCCUUUUAUCUCAUAGUUCCUCUAUUGAGUCUCUUUCUCCAGGGGGUGAUUUAUUUGCAUUGGGCAUCUUUAAAAAUGGCAGUGACAGCCUCCAGCGAAGCACUUCUUUAGAAAGUUGGUUGACAUCCUAUAAAAGCAAUGAAGAUCUUUUUAGCUGUCACAGCUCUGGUGACAUAAGCGUGAGCAGUGGCUCAGUUGGUGAACUGAGUAAAAGAACAUUAGAUCUCCUGAAUCGUUUGGAGAAUAUCCAGAGCCCUUCGGAGCAAAAGAUAAAGCGAAGUGUUUCCGAUAUCACUCUUCAAAGCUCUUCCCAAAAGAUGUCUUUUCCUGGCCAACUGUCAUUGGACAGAGCAUCUUCUAUCAAUGAAGACUCGCCAGCAUCUCUUACAGAACUUAGCAGCAGUGAUGAGCUCUCUCUUUGCUCAGAGGAUAUUGUGUUACACAAGAACAAGAUCCCGGAAUCAAAUGCAUCAUUCAGGAAGCGCCUGCCUCGUUCGGUGGCCGAUGAAAGUGAUGUCAAUGUCAGCAUGAUCGUGAAUGUCUCUUGCACCUCUGCGUGCACUGAUGAUGAAGAUGACAGUGACCUCCUCUCCAGCUCGACGCUCACCUUGACAGAAGAAGAACUAUGCAUCAAAGAUGAGGAUGACGACUCCAGUAUUGCAACAGAUGAUGAAAUUUAUGAAGAGUGCAACUUGAUGUCAGGGCUGGACUAUAUAAAGAAUGAGCUGCAGACCUGGAUUAGACCGAAGUUUUCCUUGACAAGAGAUAAGAGAAGGUGUAAUCUCAGUGAUGAAAUAAAGGGCAGUAAGGAUGUAAGUAGUAGUGAGAUGAACAAUUCCUCUGACACCCUGAACAUUGAGGCCCUUCUAAAUGGCUCCAUAAAACAUCUCUCCGAAAAUAAUGGAAAUAGUAAGAAUUUACCCCACACCUGUGAGUUAGGGACAAAGGGUGAAAAUAAGAAAAAUAUUUUCAAAGUUAAUAAAGAUCCAUAUGUGGCAGACAUGGAAAAUGGCAAUAUUGAAAGUAUUCCAGAAAGGCAGAAGGACAAACUGAAUGAGAUUUCAAAGGAAUCAGAAAAUCUUGGUUCAACUGGGAAAAGGAUUUCAGAGAGUGAGCAUUGUGAGUACCAAGCAUUUAUGGAUAGCUCAGAUGAUUCAAAUAUUGCUGGAAAGGAAUUUGUUCCCCAGAUGGUUAGACAUGUUCCAAAGAAAUGUCAAAAUCACCACCAUUUUGAAAAUCAAAAUGCUGCUUCUACUCCCACUGAGAAGUCUUGUCCAGAACUGCCUUCAGAAACCAGUGUUAUCAAUAGACAGGAUUCUGAGGUACUGAAAUCUUCAUCUAAUGAUACACCAAAUAUGGCUGGAAAAUCUGCUGGUUGCUGCCUAGCACUUGAACAAAAUGAAACAGAGGAAAAUGUUUCUAUCAGUGACAACAUUUCCUGUUGCAACUGUGACCCAGAUGUUUUCCAUCAAAAAGAUGCCGAAGAUUGUUCAGUACACGACUUUGUUAAGGAAAUCAUUGACAUGGCUUCAACAGCCCUAAAAUGUAAAUCUCAACCUGAAAAUGAGGCAGCUGCUCCUACUUCAUUAACUCAAAUCAAGGAGAAGGUGCUGGAACAUUCUCACCGGCCCAUCCAGCUGAGAAAGGGGGACUUUUAUUCAUACUUAUCUCUCUCAUCUCAUGACAGUGAUUGCGGGGAGGUCACCAAUUACAUAGAAGAGAAGAGCAACACUCCACUGCCACCGGACAUGACUGACUCUGGCUCAGAAGACAAGGAAGACACCGAAUGCUUCUUCGAGGCCUGUGUUGAGGAGGACCCUGCUGAAUACCAGUCCUGUUUCUCCAGCACUCUUCCAAAUGAACCUGCAGUUCCCAGUGAAGCUCCAGUUUCACUGCAAGCAGCUGCAGGCUCUUCCAAGUUCAGUGAUACUUCUCUCCUCGUCGAUGAUGCAGACAUGAUGGCUCUUUCAGGUCCUCCCCCUCCGAAAAGAGGUGAUGUAGGAAAGGAAGUGGAUGGUUUACCCCAAGCUUCUAAUGUCUAUGGAGAAAGCUCAGAGUUAACUACUCCUUCAAGGCUGAGCAGUGAAAAGGAGAGUUCAGAAAACCCAGGUGAGUCUGGAAGGCCAGAAGAACAUGAUGCUUCUUCAGCCCAAUCUAGAGUUCCUGGAUUCUCCUCGAAGGCAAAGCAGCCAAAAGACAUGGCUGCAUUGCAUCCCAACCCCAAAACUUUAACCUGUGAAGAAAAUCUUCUGAACCUUCAUGAAGAACGACAUAGAAAUAUGCAUAGGUAGAAUGUAACCCUCUCCAAGCAUGAAAAUCAUCUCAUUGAAAGACUCUAUUUACAAUUGGUUGCAAGGGAGAACAAAAGUAGGAGAGAGAGAAAUGUAUUUUCUGUGAAACAUGUCCACCCUAUAACCACAUUCUCUAUCAGUAUGCAGUAAAACUGACCAGCAAGGGAGAACAACUGCAAUUCCAUAAGCUGCUUCAAAACAAGUUCUAUUAGAACCAAUUGUACCGCCGGCUCUGCUAACCUCCGCAAAAGGGCUGGUAGAGCCUGGCUGAUUUUUAUUUUCUGAAAGGGGAUCAAGGCUUGAAAGCAACACCACUCUGAGCACGACAUCAUGUGACUGUGACCCUCAAGUCACCAAUCAUGCUGAGAUCCGGUUUCAAGAAGCUCUGGCACUGGAGAAGCCUAUGGGGUGCACUCCUCCCUUUUUGAUGCUCCGGGGAUUUCUUCUCUCCCCUACACAGAUACAGAAUUGGAAUGAAAUGUAAGCCUGGCUGCAACUCAGGGGUGGCCUCAUAUUUCCGCCCUGGGCUGGUCUCUGGUUCCAUCGUGUCACUGCCAUUUGUUACAUUGACCUCUCCCAAGAUGAAUCUUUCUUCCGAAUGCGGUUGUCCACAUGAGCCUUGUGAUCUGGAUGUGUGCACUGGUUCUCUUUAGGUGGUUGUCUUUGAAGUUCAGCAAAGCUGCUUGUUCUCCCGUGGAUUCCUGUCCCAAGCUACCUCUACCGACCCCACCUCUCCAGAGAGACUUUUCAGUUUGCCUUCUCCCCUCCCCAUCUACUCUCUCAAAUUCUGCAGUUCACCAAAUUGAUGGUCCAUUAAAUUCACCUGUCUGGAAUGACCCCCUGCUGGUACUUGACCAAUUUCAUGUUUCAGUCUGGAUUUUUUUUUAUGGUAUGAUGCCUACGUUCGUGGAAAGAGGUUUACGUAAAAGGCCAACAUUUGAUUUGAUUGCAGCAUAGAGAAGAAAAACUGGCCCUUCUUUCAAAAUUAAGCAACUUUUAAAAGCGCCAUUUUGUUUAUUUCCUUUUAAAAAUAAUAAUCUAUGCAGCACUUCAGGAAACAACUAUAUGGUGUUGUAUAUUAUAAACUGGUGACAUUCUACUAUUAAAUCAUGUAGAACAUUUUUGUUUUUUAUGCUUCUUGAGGUGGCAAUGAGAAAAAAGUUUUUUAAAAAAGUGUGCCUUGCUGUAUUUCUUAUACCAUUUAUUAAAAAGCUGCUUUCACGGUAAAAUUAUGUUGGUUUGAAAGGAGGAAAUAGCAAGGUUAAGAUGUGUGAAUAAUUUCUGUAUAUAUGUAUAACCAAGUACAAACACUGAUGUAUAAUGACAGUAUAAAAUGCUUUCAUUUUUGUGAUGUCUAGUGAUGUGGAAAAUAUAAGCCUUAAAUCCAUUAGAUUGCAUGGUAAUUAAAAUUGGCAUAAUAAACAUAGUUUAUUGGGGGAAAAGGAAAAUUAGUGAUCUCUUCUACCUGUGUUCUUUACCAAAUUAUUGCAUCUGGUUCUGGAAAAAUGUGACAUGUAGCAGCUUCCAAAAUAUCCAUAUCGUAUAAGAGACUUAAAAUUACUUAAACCACACAUGAUGCUGUCACAGUUUCCAAAGUCUUUCUGGUAACUAUAAAGAUCUUGGAACACAAAUGAUUAAAUGCCAGUUCCCCUAAACCAAUAAAAAUUUAUCCUAGAUAUUUUAUUUCUACUUAUCAUUAAUGGUUUAGUGUUGGGUUUCAGGAUACCUAGUAUAUCUUGUAUUUAUUUUAUAUAAUUAUUUUGAAUGGGUUUGAUGGAAAGAUGGUAGAGAAGUAUAAAAAAGUUGAUUAUUUUUUGAUUUAGACUAUAGAUUUCAGGUGUAUUUAUUUUGUGUAAAAGAAAUUAGCUAAGAAAUAUUCCAUUUAGUCUUUACUGCUCUUGUUAAAUGUAGUUUUGAAUUUAUAUCCUAAUACCUACUAAAGUGCCUGACACAUAGUAGGUACUGAAUAAAAAUUUGCUGAAUUGAAGUAUUGAAUUAGGUAAUAUGGAUGACAUUUAUCUAUUCAUUUUGAGAAACCUACACUAAAACACUUAUAAAAAAUUAGAAAAAUGAUGAAAUGCAAUAUAAAACCAUACAAUAUAUAAUCAGUUUAUAUCAAAUUUCAAAAAGAAAUAAUGUAGAUUCAGAUAGUCACAGUAAUGACAAUCAUUCAUUCAACUGAUAAUUCAUUAACAUCUUUUACCUGCAAGGCAUUGUUCUAGAUGCAGGGGAUGCAAUGAUGAACAAGCAAAAGCCCUGCCCCCAGGAGGCUUACCUACAUUAUGGACGAGGUGAACACACAGUGAGAUUCAGUAGUUGUCCUGUACAUGAGGAAGAGAACAAAGCAGUGAAAGAGGCACAAAGACAGAAACAGCAAUGAAGGACAAGGAGGAAAAAAAGGGUUAAAAGAGAGCCGGAAGUUAGACAGUAGAAAAUAGUGCAGCUUUAUUGCAGGAAUAGUAGGAGAAACAGUAAAUUGUGAGACUUAAUGAAGGAUCUUUUAAAAUGUUAGGUUGGAGCUUUUGUAUGUAAUAUGCUAAGUAGUAAGGAAACUUUGUAUCAUCUUUGUUUUGCACCUGAUUUUAUUUAUGAUUAGAACUUUAUUAGUACCACACCAAGAACAUUUAAAAAAUAAUAGCCUAUAGUUCUGCCACUUAAUAACUAUUUGUAUUGUUAUGCCUCUUCUAAUCUUUUCCAUACAUAUUUCUAAAUUGAUGAAUCAUUCUAGGCUUUUUAAUGGGUAGCAAUUUGUUCAAAAGGGGUUUUAGGCAGACAUCUAGCUGCAGUAUUCAAAACGAUUACAGGGGAAAGAGAUUAGAGGUAAAUGCCUCGUUAGGAGGCAGCUGUAGAAAAUAAGCUAGGCUCGAGAUGAUCACAGAGUACACAGUGUUGGCAGCCCAGGCCAUAGAGAAGGAACAAAUCCUAGAGUCUCUGAAAUACCUAAGAGCAUUCUGGAGCUCCGUUGAGGUACAGUAUCACUUUAUAUACUGAGACAACCUAAAUUUUCCUUGGGUAGUAAUUAACAAUGCCAAGUCUAAGUCUAUUGGUAAAACAUUUGAAGAGCAAACUGACUGAGAUGUUCUAUUUACCUGUUGUGUGCUCAUUGAAGACUUUGAGGUAUUGAAAAUAUGCGUUUUUUAAUUAUCUGCUUAGUAUUAACACCAAAUUUGUAGCAUGACUUUCCGGUUUAUUGAACAGUGCUUUUUCAGGCUGGAAGUGGUGGAAUAGCCUCAGUCCUUCACUCUAGGUAGGCACGACCCCCCCUACCCCCCACCAGGCCGCCUUGAAAAUGGUCACACCAACUCUGCCUACACACUUUCAGUGACAGUGGUUCAUUGUCUGUCAAGGCAAGCUUUCCCACCGUUGGAUGUGUCUCUUUGUUAGAAAGUUAUUUCUUAGGUUGCUAAAAUCUGCAUAGUUCUGCCUUCCCCUCGCCUUUAAUUUUGCUCAGUGGUCCUAGUUCUGUCCUGAUGAGCCGCUCAGAGUAUUUCUGCUCCUUUCUCCUGGCAACCCUGAAGAGAGAGACCAGUUAGUCACCCUCUCCCAGCUGCUGUGAUUUCUGUUCUUCAGUUCCCUCCACCACCCUUCAUUUGUCAUGAUUUUCAGAUCCAUUUAAACCUGACUGAAUGUUAAGAGGCAGUAUCCUUGAAACUGAGGAACUGUCUUGCUCAUCAUACAUGUAGAAAAAUAUCCGAACAUUUAAGUGGUAAGUUUUCUCUCAAAAUAUAUCCAAGAUAUAUGUUUAUUCUAUUAUUGUAAAUUUCAAUAAAUAAAUAAAUAAGUAAAUAAAUAAGAAUUCAUUACUUCCUUCAGUGGCCCAGUCCAGUGCUGGAGUCAUGUUGAAUCCUUUCCUUACGUCAAAUCUGAACCUAACCUGUUUCCAUAUAAAGCAGGGUCCCCCCACUCCAUUUAUUCAUCC